UGAGGAAUAACAGUGCAGUCCUCCUUUGGCGUGCAGAUUGCAAAGAGAUAAUGCAUAUUAUUUCAUUCAUUUGCAUCCUUCUGUUUGCCAAAGGAGAAUUGCCCUGCCAUUCACUC
rfam:Citrus sinensis cultivar Ridge Pineapple sweet orange scaffold00007_contig_71, whole genome shotgun sequence.